rnacentral:misc_RNA from 1 species
UGGAAGAGCAUUUGGGUUGAACUUGUCAUCUGGGUGAUCUCCAACAUCCCCUGCAAUCUUGAUCCCCGUUCGCACGUUUUCCACAUAAACAUCAGAAAAGGUGAUAUUUCUUAUNNNNNNNNNNNUGCCAAUGUUUGUUUUUACAUGUAUGCCGACUCCCAUGUUGGAGAGGUUUAUAUUUUCUGCCAAGACAUUCUCCACCCCACCAGAGGUUUCACUUCCAACCGCAAUUCCAGCAAAAGGAGAUGAUCCUGUUACUCGCCGAAUUGUG